rnacentral:lncRNA from 1 species
CCUAAAAAGCAUGAAAGUUCUAUUUACUAAAUAAAGGACACAAUUUUUAUACAUGAUCAAAGUAUCAGAAAAUGAAAUCUAAUAUUUUUCCUAUAUUCUACUCACUGCACAGAACCUAUACAAAAAUUUUCACUAUUUUUGGAUCUACACAUAUGUUUCUACACAAAAUCAAACUUAAAUCACUUUUGGUAUAAAAAGAAAAAGAAAAACAGUACUGCUGCCAGCCCACUCACCCACGGUCCAGGCCGGCCCACGCACGCGCGCCUCUCCUACAGGUCGCUGACGGGGGAUCCCACCCAUCAGUUUCCUCUUCCUCCUCUCGCCACC